ensembl:snoRNA
AUUCUUUUGUAGUUCAAAAGCAUGAUGAUUGGGUGUUCACGGGCAUGUGUGAGACGUGCCACCCUAUGAACCUCCUUAUGACCCGGUACAUUACUUGUCUGAUC